UGAGGAAUUUUGGACAAUGGGGGAAACCCUGAUCCAGCAACGCCGCGUGAGUGAUGAAGGUCUUCGGAUUGUAAAGCUCUGUCGAACGGGACGAGGGGUUAUGAGGCUAAUAUCCUUAUGAUCUGACGGUACCGUUGGAGGAAGUCACGGCUAACUACGUGCCAGCAGCCGCGGUAAUACGUAGGUGGCAAGCAUUGUUCGGAUUUACUAGGCGUAAAGGGCGUGUAGGUGGCCUUGUAAGUUGGGAGUGAAAUUUCGCAGCUUAACUGUGAAACUGCUUCCAAUACUGCUUGGCUUGAGUAUAGGAGAGGGAAAUGGAAUUCCUGGUGUAGCGGUGAAAUGCGUAGAUAUCAGGAAGAACACCUGUGGCGAAGGCGAUUUCCUGGCCUAAAACUGACACUGAGACGCGAAAGCUAGGGGAGCAAACAGG
rnacentral:rRNA from 1 species